CAGAACUUCAACACUCGCGAAAAUUAUUUAUUGUAAUAUUGAUAAUAGGAACUAAAAAACCUCGUUUUCUUUGCUGGAAAAAAAAAUGCAGUGGGCUAUGCCUGAGUUCCUUUACCCUGCUUCAGAAGUAAUUCUUUCAUUUCCUUAUACCUCACGAACUCUGUAAAUGCAUCAGCUGUAGUUUUGGAACAUGCAAGUCCAGAGGAUGCAAGAUUCAAAGAAUCAGAGACCCCAACAGCGACUCUGGAGGGACUUCUGCUGUCACGGGCUUGGAGCCCUGCACCAAAUUUGUUGUGAUAGAGAUGUCUGGGCGAAGAGGAGGUGCCUUCUUCAGCAUGCAAAUAAGAGCACCAACAGCAGUAUCUUGAGAUCUUCCAUUGGGACAAAGUCCACCAGGCUGAUCAAAUGACCCUGGUCUGAUGGCAACAAUUGAGAGUCAGCUGGUAAACAUACUGAUAGCCACAGAAUUUAAUUUUAAAACAAGCCAUAAUUU
rnacentral:lncRNA from 1 species